GAUGAACGCUGGCGGCGUGCCUAAUACAUGCAAGUCGAGCGAACGGACGAGAAGUUUGCUUCCCUGAUGUUAGCGGCGGACGGGAGAGUAACACGUGGAUAACCUACCUAUACGACUGGGAUAAUUUCGGGAAACAGUAGCUACUACCGGAUAAUAUUUUGAACCGCAUGGUUCAAAAGUGAAAGACGGUCUUGCUGUCACUUAUAGAUGGAUCCGCGCUGCAUUAGCUAGUUGGUAAGGUAACGGCUUACCAAGGCAACGAUGCAUAGCCGACCUGAGAGGGUCGUCGGCCACACUGGAAGAGAGACACAGUCCAGACUCCUACGGUAGGCAGCAGUAGAGACUCUUACGCGAUGGACGAAAGCCUAACAGAGCAACGCCGCGUGAGUGAUGAAGGUCUACGGAUCGUAGAGCUCUGUUAGUAGGGAAGAACAAAUGUGUAAGUAACUGUGCACAUCUUGACGGUACCUAAUCAGAAAGCCACGGCUAACUACGUG
rnacentral:rRNA from 1 species